CUAUGUCGGCACAUCGUGAAGGCAUGUAGUUGCUGGGCUGUGGACAGCGUCCAGGAGGCUCCCUGCGCCCGCGGAAACGGGAGUAGGGUAAGUACGAGAGCUUGGGAGGUCCAGGCGCUGUGCCUUGUACACCCCAUGACCGCAGCGAAUGUCCCGCCUCCCCGAGCUCGUGUGUCCUCGGCUGUCGGGAAACCGCCUGGCGCCGGGGUUCCCUGCGGAUACCUCCGUCAAGGCCCGUCUGUGUCCGUGGCCGCCCCGUAGUCGUCGCCCUGUGCGUUGUGUCCGCUUUACGGGGAAGAAGACCCAGACUCAAAAGCCAGCCAUUCCGAGGUCUUGACUCAUUUUGUUGCUGGACUGCGGGCGUGAUAAGCGAGCCGAUCGACUAGGCACGGAUGAGGUAGAGUCUCCUGAUGUCCACCUGGCUGUACUCCGAACCCCAGUGCCCCAAGUCCCUGACUCAGCCUCAGGCCUGGGUGUUCAGGACAGUGGAACGUUCACAGGUCGGGGGUCUCCCUUUCAGAAUCCAGUGUGAUAAAACGUGGAGCGUGCAGGCGGAGGAAUGUGCCUGUGCGAAGGCUCGGAGUGCGGUCACCCAACUUGAACAUCGAGGGGACCUGGCUGGUGGACGAGGUGUCUAGAAUCAGUUCAUGACCAGAGAGACCCAUGGAAGACCAGUCCUGGUGAGUGUAAGACAGGUUUGGAAGGGCCUGUGGCAGUGCGCUGAUCUCUUACCUGGUACCUGACCUGUGUCUUCUGUCGCCCUGGCAUCAAUGUCCUCCAUCAUUGGCCUCCCCUUCACAUAUCCUUAAAUAGUUCUUGAAAACCUGUUCUUCCGUGAGCCUGACUGUUCCCUCUGAGGAAGGUGGGCGCAGUGUCAGGGGUCCCAGGCCUGGACUCCCCUCACUGCACAGCACCUGUCUGUCACCAGACACUGAGGCCCUGCCAGCUCCACAUUCUGCACAAUCCACAGAGAACUGACACUGAAAGAGACACUGCUCAAUGCACAGCAAAUGGAGAGGUGUUCAAGGAGAGGUGUUCCCUUUUCUACCACCAAAAAAAACUUAAGAAUGGGAAAAAAAAAAUCCCAAGUUCAUUUUGAA